AAGGAGCAGGUGUGGUGACAGGAAGGAGCAGACGAAGGCGGGGCAGACACGUGACGAGAAACGUAAACAAAACUGCACGUGGCCAAAGUCCGAGCUGAAUCAUGACACUUACUUAGCCGCAAAAUACUUCAACUUAAAAUUUAGACUGUUAUGAACUCAAAAUCCUGAUUCAUAAAAAUAGUCACUCUGGUCUCCCUUGAUGGUGACUGGUUAUUUAAGGAGUUCUGCCUGGCAAAAAGAGAUCUAAUGAAGUGAUUGGUAGAAUAAUCCUUUAGGCGGUCCUUAAUGCCUUUUGCUGCGGGAAAGUUCUGGAAUUAAUCUUCUCGUCGUUCGCCAUUUUAAAUUCGGUGAAACAAGAACAUGUGGAUAUUGUUACCACCUGUACAGACUGUAGCUGCAACCUAGGUGUUUUCUUAUGUACAGUAUGUUUUUGAAAUUUAAACUGAAAUGUAAUUUCUCAUUUAUCUGUACAUUUUUGUACAAUGUGGCUGUGACCAGUUGUUUCAUUUAUUGAAAUUUAAAUGUUUUAAUGUUUAAACAAUUUUGCACAAUAAAUACAUUCAAUAUGA